GACGAACGCUGGCGGCGUGCUUAACACAUGCAAGUCGAACGGUGAAGCUCCAGCUUGCUGGAGUGGAUCAGUGGCGAACGGGUGAGUAACACGUGAGCAACCUGCCCCUGACUCUGGAAUAAGCGCUGGAAACGGCGUCUAAUACUGGAUACGAGAAGGGUCCGCAUGGGCACUUUCUGGAAAGUUUUUCGGUUGGGGAUGGGCUCGCGGCCUAUCAGCUUGUUGGUGAGGUACUGGCUCACCAAGGCGACGACGGGUAGCCGGCCUGAGAGGGCGACCGGCAAAACGGGGACUGAGACACGGCCCAGACUCCUACGGGAGGCAGCAGUGGGGAAUAUUGCACAAUGGGCGAAAGCCUGAUGCAGCGACGCGGCGUGAGGGAUGACGGCCUUCGGUUUGUAAACCUCUUUCAGCAGGGAAGAAGCGAAAGUGACGGUACCUGCAGAAGAAGCACCGGCUAACUACGUG
rnacentral:rRNA from 1 species